UUAUUCGACUUCAUAUCCAGAAACUUCGGAUUAUCGCUCUCGAACUGGACAUUCGAAUUAUCCCCUUGAUGAACCGCUUGCAGCUGACUUGUGUACUGCUUAUUUAGACCCAGAGCUUAUCCUUACACUGAUCAAGACUCUCCACUUGAAUAACAACCCGGACCACCCCUCUUUCAUGCUUGGGGUUGGACCACACCUCUUAUUGACGCGCCGACCUAUACUGCUUGCUUACU
rnacentral:lncRNA from 1 species